AGCGUAGACGGCAAGGCAAGUCUGAUGUGAAAACCCAGGGCUUAACCCUGGGACUGCAUUGGAAACUGUCUGGCUCGAGUGCCGGAGAGGUAAGCGGAAUUCCUAGUGUAGCGGUGAAAUGCGUAGAUAUUAGGAAGAACACCAGUGGCGAAGGCGCUUACUGGACGGUAACUGACGUUGAGGCUCGAAAGCGUGGGGAGCAAACA
rnacentral:rRNA from 1 species